rnacentral:rRNA from 1 species
UAAGGAAUAUUGGACAAUGGGGGCAACCCUGAUCCAGCCAUGCCGCGUGAAGGAUGAAGGCGCUCUGCGUUGUAAACUUCUUUUAUACGGGAAUAACACACGCUACGUGUAGCGUGCUGAAUGUACUGUAAGAAUAAGCAUCGGCUAACUUCGUGCCAGCAGCCGCGGUAAUACGAAGGAUGCAAGCGUUAUCCGGAUUUAUUGGGUUUAAAGGGUGCGUAGGCGGCUUACUAAGUCAGUGGUGAAAGCCCGGAGCUUAACUCCGGAAUUGCCAUUGAUACUGAUGAGCUUGAGUACACUUGAGGUAGGCGGAAUGUGUCAUGUAGCGGUGAAAUGCUUAGAUAUGACACAGAACACCGAUUGCGAAGGCAGCUUACUAAAGUGUAACUGACGCUGAGGCACGAAAGCGUGGGGAUCAAACAG